UUACCAUGGGGCGCAGCCUGACCCAGCCAUGCCGCGUGUGUGAAGAAGGCCCUAGGGUUGUAAAGCACUUUAAGCAGGGAGGAAGGCUGUAAGGUUAAUACCCUUGCAGAUUGACGUUACCUGCAGAAUAAGCACCGGCUAAUUUCGUGCCAGCAGCCGCGGUAAUACGAAAGGUGCGAGCGUUAAUCGGAAUUACUGGGCGUAAAGCGCGCGUAGGUGGUUUGGUAAGUUGGAUGUGAAAGCCCUGGGCUUAACCUGGGAACUGCAUUCAAAACUGCCAUGCUAGAGUACAGUAGAGAGGGGUAGAAUUUCAGGUGUAGCGGUGGAAUGCGUAGAGAUCUGAAGGAAUAUCAGUGGCGAAGGCGGCCCCUUGGACUGAUACUGACACUGAGGUGCGAAAGCGUGGGUAGCAAACAGGAUUAGAUACCCUGGUAGUCCACGCCGUAAACGAUGUCAACUAGCCGUUGGGGAACUUGAUUCUUUAGUGGCGCAGCUAACGCAAUAAGUUGACCGCCUGGGGAGUACGGCCGCGAGGUUAAAACUCAAAUGAAUUGACGGGGGCCCGCACAAGCGGUGGAGCAUGUGGUUUAAUUCGAUGCAACGCGAAGAACCUUACCAGGUCUUGACAUCCUGCGAAUUUUCUAGAGAUAGAUUAGUGCCUUCGGGAACGCAGUGACAGGUGCUGCAUGGCUGUCGUCAGCUCGUGUCGUGAGAUGUUGGGUUAAGUCCCGUAACGAGCGCAACCCUUGUCCUUAUUUGCCAGCACGUAAUGGUGGGAACUCUAAGGAGACUGCCGGUGACAAACCGGAGGAAGGUGGGGACGACGUCAAGUCAUCAUGGCCCUUACGACCUGGGCUACACACGUGCUACAAUGGUC
rnacentral:rRNA from 1 species